rnacentral:rRNA from 1 species
AGCGCAGACGGUUAUUUAAGCAAGAUGUGAAAGCCCCGGGCUCAACCUGGGAACUGCGUUUUGAACUGGGUAACUAGAGUGUGUCAGAGGGGGGUAGGAAUUCCACGUGUAGCAGUGAAAUGCGUAGAGAUGUGGAGGAAUACCGAUGGCGAAGGCAGCCCCCUCGGGAUAACACUGACGUUCAUGCUCGAAAGCGUGGGUAGCAAACA